AAAUUAGGUUGACAUUCCUCCCAGAAGAUUAGAAUAAGACCUCAUUUGAAGUGAUUGACAAUCUCAAAUCUUGUUGCAGAAAUAUUUUGAAUCUUCUUUAACUUGGAAAAACUGGAUAAACUUCUCUCCGACUUUAUCCAGAUUCACAAACUCAGAUUUCAAAAUUAUCACCUAUACUGAAUUUGUUCUUUAUAUAAAAAAAAAAGACUCAGAUCUCAAAAUUAGGUUGACAUUCCUCCCAGAAGAUUAGAAUAAGACCUCAUUUGUUUGCACUCAAUGGAGGUCUGAAUCUAAUGUUCAGACCUUAGGCCAUUAAGUGCAUUUAUUUACAUCAAGAUUUAAGCACUUAUUUUGUCUGUAUACGUCUUGACCAUUAAGAGUUUGAACAAGUCUUAAUAUCAUUAAGAAUUAUUUUUGUGUGGAUAAUUUUUCACCACUAUCUAUCUACAAUGUACAAUCACUAGCCACCACCACUAACUACCUAUGUCAUGACAACCACUACCACCACCAUUGUCAACCAUGUCGCCAACCACCUCUACCAUCACAACCCCCACUGCUGCCAACCACGUUAUUACUGUCAGUCUCUACCACACCUACCAUCUCCAUCAUUAUAAUUAUAUUCAUUGUCACCGCUACCGCCGCUAUCAACCACUACCAUCACUGCAACCAAUCUCAACUACUAACCACCUCUACCAUCACAAUUAUCACUAAUGCAUCGUCAACCACCACACAUUCUUCCGCCAUCACCAUCAACAUUGCCAUCUACUAACAUAACUUCACCAUCACAACCAUCAUCACCACUAUCAAUUGCCACCAUCACACAGUCAUUACAACACCAACCGUCUCCACAAUCACAACUAUCACCGCCACAAUUACUAGCCAUUAACAUCAACCAUUACUGCAGCUAUAAACUAUCCCCAUCAUUAGCGAACAUGAAUGUUUCAUUUUUUUAAUCAAAUAAUAAUUUUAUUUUAUUAAAUUUAUGUUUUUAUAAUUUAAAAAAACAAUUUGAAUUGUAUAUUUAUUAUGUUUACAAAUAAAUAAAUUAUGGACAUUCAGAUGUUGGAAACAUACAAUCUUAAUCAUUCAGUGUUAAGAUCUAGAGACUAUCUUAAUCAUUCAGAUAUGCAUUCAAAUCCAGAC
rnacentral:lncRNA from 1 species